rnacentral:rRNA from 1 species
UACGUAGGAGGCGAGCGUUGUCCGGAGUUACUGGGCGUAAAGGGUGCGCAGGCGGUGGCCCGCGUGGGCGGUGAAAGCUCCUGGCUCAACUGGGAGAGGGCCGUCCAGACGGGGUCACUUGAGGGGCGGAGAGGGGGAUGGAAUUCCGCGUGUAGCAGUGAAAUGCGUAGAUAUGCGGAGGAACACCGAUGGCGAAGGCAACUCCCCUGGGCCUGUACUGACGCUCAUGCACGAAAGCGUGGGGAGCAAACAGG